rnacentral:lncRNA from 1 species
GGAAGGAAGUUGUUAACCUGGUCCAGGGAUGCCCUAGAAAAUAUAAAGUCCUUUAUGUGAAUGACAUAAGGCAAUCUUUGGUCGAGAUGCAUAAGCUGUUGUGUGAACACAGCCACUACGAGCAUGACCAUGAUAGGUGCCAGGUGUGCAUUAUCAAUGAGAGAGGAUACCGUCAAGUAAGAAAGGACAUCCAAGAGAUGAUUGAUCAAGGGAUGAUUGAGAUACUUCAGAAUCGUAAUGAGGAUGAGGUUGGUGUAAGCACUCCAGUAUUCAAAAUUCCUAAGCCUGUUGUUAUCAGAUAUGACGGCAACAAGAAGAAGGUAUCGCCAGCUCUUGUGAUCAAGCCAGCGGGCCCUGUCCCGUAUGUAUCCGACAAAGCUGUUCCCUGCCGGUAUAACGCAGUUAUGCUAGAAGAUGGGAAGGAGGUGUCAUUGCCCUCAACCUCUGUUGUUAGCAUUUCAGAUGUCAGUGGUGUGACCCGUAGUGGUCAUAUUUUCUCGGCGCAGCCGAAACCCCAUGAAGACAUUGUGAAGAAAACUGUUGUUAAUCCUGCUGGUCCCGUAGGGACUUCUUCUUCAAAUAAUCCUGCUCAUGUUGUGAAGGGUGUUGACCCUGUUGUUGUCAAGAAUAAUAACACUUCUAUCCUGGUUGGCCAGUCUGGCAUAUUGAAAGAGGAUGGUGAUGAGAUGCUAAGGCUCAUCAAAAGGAGUGAAUCUAAUAUUGUUGAUCAGCUGCUACAAACUCCAUCAAAGAUAUCUGUCUUAUCUUUGCUGAUGAAUUCUGAGCCACACCGCGAAGCUUUGCAGAGGGUGUUGGACGUGGCAUACGUGGAACAUGAUGUCACAAUAUAGCAGUUUGAUAGCAUUGUUGCAAAUAUAACCGCUUGCAACAACUUGAGCUUCUGUGAUGCUGGACUUCCCGAGGAGGGAAAAGACCACAAUUUGGUUUUACACAUUUCAAUGAACUAUAAGGAUGACGCCUUGUCCAAUGUGUUGGUGGACACAGGGUCAUCACUAAAUAUGUUACCAAAGUCCACUCUUGCUAAACUUUCGUAUCAAGGGCCUCCCAUGAGGCAGAGUGGAGUGGUUGUGAAGGCGUUUGAUGGAUCGCGCAAAACUGUGAUCGGAGAAUUAGAACUCCCGAUCAAGAUUAGACCUAGUGAUUUCCAGAUCACUUUCCAGGUCAUGGAUAUUCAUCCGUCUUAUAGUUUUUUACUGGGUAGACCAUGGAUUCACGAGGCAGGCGCCGUGACAUCCACCCUACACCAAAAGUUGAAGUUCAUAAAGAAUAAGAAGUUGGUGGUGAUAGGGGGAGAGAAGGCUCUCUUGGUCAGUUAUUUAUCUUCCUUCUCCUAUAUUGAUGUUGAGGAUAAGGUUGGGACUCUGUUCCAAGCCUUGUCUUUUGCUGAGCCUUUGAGGAAAGGACUUUCUUCAUUUGUCUCCUAUAAUGAUGCGAAGUUGGCCAUUGAGCAUGGUGGAACUACUGGUUUGGGGAAAAUGAUCAAGUUGGAAGAUAAUAAGUCCCGAGCUGGCAUAGGGUAUUCUUCAUGUGUUUCCAAUGAGUGUGGGCUAUUCCAGAGUGGAGGUUUUAUCCACACUGUUGAAGAUCAGGAAGCUGCUGCCAUUGUUGAAGAUGAUGAAGAGGAAGACCUUGGCAACUUUGUCAUACCUGGUGGAAUCUGCAAUAAUUGGGUCGCUGUUGAUGUUCCAACAGUUAUCCAUAAGUCAACGUAAUGUGUUCAUUUUGUUUAAAAACCCCUUUCCCGUGCCAAAAGGAGAAGUGAUGACAUUGAUGGCAUAAUUUGAUUAAUACAAUGGUAUUCAUUCAAUAAUCACAUGUAAAUGUUUGUUUUCCAAAUUAUUUUCCCUUUUUGCUCUUUGCAUGAAAUUGGCGAUCACCAUAAAACCCUAAAAAGAGAAUAAAAUCAAUCUUUGCAUAUGCAUAAUGAUUUGCCUUUCUUGAAUUUUGAAAUCUCUUUUAUACUCAAAAUCAUUAUGCAGGUUAAUCAAACCCAUUGAACAUAAUGAUCCAACACCAUCUCCCAACUUUGAGUUCCCUCUAUUUGAAGAAAAAGAAGAUGAUGUUGAAGAGAAUCCUGAUGAGAUUACCCAUCUGCUUGAGCACGAGGAGAAGAUCAUUCAGCCGCAUCUUGAGAAUCUGGAAAUAGUCAACUUGGGGUCUGAAGACUGCAUUUGCAAAGUGAAGAUUGGGGCACUCCUUGAAGAGUCUGUUAAGAAGGGGUUGAUUGAGUUGCUACGAGAAUAUGUCGACGUCUUUUCCUGGUCGUAUGAAGACAUGCUUGGUCUAGAUACUGAUAUUGUGCAACAUUUCUUGCCAUUAAAUCCUGAGUGUGUGCCUGUGAAGUAGAAGCUCAGAAGAACUCAUCCUGAUAUGGCAGUAAAGAUUAAAGAAGAAGUUCAAAAGAAAAUUGAUGCUGGGUUUCUGUUGACUUCUACAUAUCCUCAAUGGGUGGCCAAUAUUCUGCAAAGUCGAAAAAAAAAGUUGAACAUGUAGAACACUUGUUGAAGCUUUUCCAGCAUUUGAGGAAAUAUAAACUCCUCUUGAAUCCGAACAAGUGUACAUUUGGAGUCCGUUCCGGCAAGUUAUUAGGCUUUAUUGUCAGUGAAAGAGGUAUUGAGGUUGAUCCGGCCAAGGUCAAAGCAAUACAAGAGAUGCAUGCGCCCAAAAUCGAGAAGCAAGUCCGAGGUUUUCUUGGCCGCUUGAAUUAUAUUUCGAGAUUCAUAUCCCACAUGACUGCCACAUGUGCACCUAUAUUCAAGCUCCUCCUGAAAGAUCAGCGUCAUGAUUGGACCAAGGAUUGCCAAAAAGCCUUUGACAGUACCAAAGAGUAUUUGUCUGAGCCUCCGAUUCUGUCUCCGCCUGUUGAAGGGAGACCUUUGAUUAUGUACUUAACUGUGCUUGAUGACUCCAUGGGAUGUGUAUUGGGUCAGCAAGAUGAAUCAAGGAAGAAAGAAUAUGCAAUAUACUAUUUGAGUAAGAAGUUCACCGACUGUGAGACUCGAUAUUCUAUGCUUGAAAAAACUUGUUGUGCUUUGGCUUGGGCUGCUAAGCGCUUACGCCAGUAUAUGUUAACUCAUACGACUUAGUUGAUAUCCAAAAUGGAUCCAAUCAAGUAUAUCUUUGAGAAGUCUGCUUUAACUGGGAGGAUUGCCCGUUGGCAAAUGUUGUAAUUUGAGUAUGAUAUUGAGUAUCGAGCUCAGAAAGCUAUUAAAGGUAGUAUCUUGGCUUACCACUUGACACAUCAACCAAUUGAGGAUUAUCAGUCUGUUCAGUACGACUUCCCUGAUGAGGAGAUUCUAUAUUUGAAAAUGAAAGAUUGCGAUGAGCCUACGCUCGACGAAGGGCCAAAUCCUGAUUCCCGAUGGGGUAUGGUGUUCGAUGGCGCUAUUAAUCAAUAUGGAAAUGGUAUUGGGGUAGUGAUCAUUACUCCUCAGGGCACACAUUUUCCUUUUACAGCAAGGUUAACUUUCAAAUGCACGAAUAAUAUGGCGGAGUAUGAGGCUUGUAUUAUGGGUUUGGAAGAGUGUAUUGAUCUUAGGAUCAAACAUCUUGAUGUUUAUGAUGAUUCGGCCCUUGUUGUUAAUCAGAUUAAGGGUGAAUGGGAAACGAAUCAGCCUGGCCUCAUCCCAUACAGAGAUUAUGCAAGGAGGAUUUCAACUUUCUUUACUGAGGUAGAUUUCCAUCAUAUUCCUCGAGAUGAGAAUCGGAUCGCAGAUGCUCUUGCUACACUUGCUUCGAAUGAUUAUGGUGAAAUAUUAGAAUGAAGUCCCCAAUAUCACCGUGAUGCGCUUGGAUAGACCAACUCACGUAUUUGCAGUUGAAGAAGUGAAAGAUGAUAAGCCAUGGUAUUAUGAUAUCAAAUGCUUUCUCCAAAGUCAUAUUUACCCGCCUGGGGCAUCGGUUAAAGAUAAGAAGACUUUGAGGAGAUUAUCUGGCAGUUUCUAUCUCAAUGGUGAUGUGCUUUAUAAGAGAAAUUUUGACAUGGUUCUGCUCAGAUGCGUGGAUAGACACGAACAAGACCUGUUGAUGACUGAAGUCAAUGAGGGUUCAUUUGGUACUCAUUCCAAUGGACAUGCCAUGGCAAAGAAGAUGUUGAGAGCAGGCUACUAUUGGCUGACGAUGGAGUCUGACUGCUGCAAGUACGUGAAGAAAUGCCACAAGUUUUUAGAUUUAUGCGGAUAAGAUUCAUGUUCCCCCGAGACUUCUGAAUGUUAUUUCCUUGUCGCGGCCUUUCUCUAUGUGGGGAAUUGACAUGAUUGGCAUGAUUGAACUAAAGGCGUCUAACGGUCACCAUUUUAUUCUCGUAGCUAUUGAUUACUUCACCAAGUGGGUUGAAGCGACGUCGUAUGCAAAUGUGACCAGGCAGGUGGUCGUGAAGUUUAUCAAGAACUAACUCAUAUGCCGAUAUGGUGUGCCAGACAAGAUCGUUACUGAUAAUGGAUCUAACUUGAACAACAAGAUGAUGAAAGAGCUGUGUAGCGAAUUCAAGAUUGCACAUCAUAAUUCUUAUCCCUAUAGACCCAAGAUGAAUAGGGUUGUUGAAGCUGCUAACAAAAACAUCAAGAAAAUUAUCCAGAAGAUGAUUGUUACGUACAAAGAUUGGCACGAGAUGUUGCCAUUUGCUCUGCAUGGUUAUCGUGCAUCUGUUCGCACUUCAAUAGGGGUAACCCCUUUCUCUUUUGUAUAUGUCAUGGAGGUUGUGCUCCCCAUAGAAGUUGAGAUCCCAUCAAUGAGAGUCUUGAUGGAAUCCAAGUUGAUUGAGGCCGAAUGGGUUCAGAGUCGUUAUGACCAACUGAAUUUAAUUGAAGAGAAUAGAUUAACUGCCAUGUGUCAUGGUCAGUUGUAUCAGCAGAGGAUGAAGAAAGCCUUUGAUAAGAAGCUCAAUCCUCGUGUGUUCCGAGAAGGUGACCUCGUGCUCAAGAAAGUCUUGUCUUUCGCGCCCGAUUCCAGGGGCAAGUGGACUCCAAACUAUGAAGGUUCAUAUGUUGUUAAGAGAGCCUUUUCAGGCGGUGCUUUGUUGCUUACAACCUAUGGAUGGGAGGAUUUCACUCGUCUUGUGAAUUCAGAUGCAGUCAAGAAAUACUUCGCCUAAAAAUAUAAAACAGAAUAGCUCGCUAAGUUGAAACCUGAAAGGGCGGCUUAGGCAAAAUGAGUGUCUCGGUGGAUUCGCGAAAGGCGGUCCAGGCAAAAGUUAGAUACAUCAAAAAAAUGAAAAUAAGUAUAUAUAUAUAUAUAUAUAUAUAUAUAUAUAUAUAUAUAUAUAAUAAUAUAUUAUAUUAUAUAUAUAUAUAUAUAUAUAUAUAUAUAUAUAUAUAUAUAUAUAUAUAUAUAUAUAUAUAUAUAUAUAUAUAUAUAUAUAUAUAUAUAUUAUAUAUAUAUAUAUAUAUAUAUAUAUAUAUAUAUUAUAUUAUAUAUAUAUAUAUAUAUACAUAUAUAUAUAUCCCGCUAGAUUGAGUACCUCAUCCUGGGGAAAUCUAGGCAAAAAUUAGGGAUUUGGCAAGUAAAUGCAUCCUGACAAGACCUUGCUCUACAGUUGUCUUCUAUCAAAGAUUCUCGCUCAGUCAUCGUCAACUGAAGCUUCAAAUACAUUGGAUUCAGAGUUGGUGGAGAAACGGUCAUUAUGUUCAAUGUAGCCCUUUUUCCAUGUAUAUCACCAAUUUCAAAUUUGUAAAGAUCCAUGGAGUCUCGCCAUUUGCGGACCGCCAUUCUAUCAAAUAAAUUUGAGCAUUUAUCCAAUUCUUGGCACUCUUAUUUGUUUCUGUUUAACAAAUGUUUGCAUGUUUUAAUUGAUAAAUAUCAUUGUUUUAAACAAAUAAAGCUUUUAUAAACUGAUUUUAAAAAAAGUGAACAUUCACAAAGGCUAAAAGGAUAAAUGGAAUGUCUUCAGUGCUCUCCCAAGGAUAGUAUGAUUUCCAAAAGGUAAGACAUUUGUUCAUAUUCUGGCAUGUUUAUGUCCUCUUCAUCAACUUCCAGUUAUCUCCUCAGCAAGAAGCUGUCUAGAACAUUUGGUGAAGGGUUUGCCCCUUUUCAUCCCCAACACGACACGUGAUUGACGAAGGAUUAAUUUCUGAUUCCCUCAGCCAAUGUAUCUCCUUUGAGAAGGUUGACAGUUUAUCCCCAGUAUGGUCGCCUACAGUUCAUCCCCUGCAGGGUUGCCUGAUCCGAGCUUGAUAACUUGUAUCCCCUCCAUGGUUGAAGUUUUCUUCUAAGUAUUGAGAUGAUGAGGAAGAUGUGUUAUUUCCUUCCCCAGCGGAGCAAUUUGUUCUUUCUCCCCUUAGUAGAGACGUCUCUCUAGUGGUUAGAAAGGAGUGUUUUGAUUGAUGAGUAUCUGUUUGGCGGUUGUUCCCCACGGAGUUUCACCUCCUACCUUGAUAAGCUCCCCAGUAGAGUUUCCUCAACGACGGAUCUUAUCCGCAUUCAGUCUCCUGUUCCCGAGAAGUGUUGGAAAAUCCUCGGUAGUUGGAAGCUGUGACUUUGCCUAUCCCCAGUGGUGGUCUAUGUCUCCUGGUAUUAGAUCAUCCCCACCAGAACUGAGUUCUCCUGUGGGCCCUACCCUCCUUUCUGAGAUGUUAUGCCGGAUGUCCGUUCGUGGCUCUUGAGCCUGUUUGUGUUAGAUAUGUCUGUCUGUCUGUCAGCAUUAAUCAUAUAUAAAUCACACAUAUACAUGCAUAAUCAUAGCAUUCAGAUAUCCAUGUUACAUUCUUUGCCAUAUAUCUUUGCUUGCUAUCUCCUGCUAUUGGUGAAAUGUUCUUCCCCAGGCAGAUGUAUGUGUCUGAUCUCUCCAUAUAGAGUCAGCCCCAUAGGCAGAAAGUGUCUAUCUUUCCUUCUUCCUUCCCCACUGAGUUAUGUCCUUGUGGAUGAUUAUUUGUUUCAGUUUCCUCCCCAGUUGUGUACCGGGAUGGAAUUACUCCCCUGAUUUAUAUCCUCAUCGGGUUGAGUCUUGUUUGAUUGUGUCUUUCUAGUUUGUUCCUGGAUUGAGUUUCCUUUCUUGUUAUCCCCUGCAGUUCCCUGUGGUUUAGUUGUUCAAUUGCUCAGUAACUAGUAAUUAUCCACCUUUUCCCCAGCGAAUUUUGUGGCCUUCUACCCAGUAACCGGUAGUUAUAAGUCCUAUUUCUGUGGUUUUCUACUCAGUAACUGGUAGAUGUAAUCCCCUCUUUGUUGGUUAUCUUUACCUAGUAACUGGUAUUAAUACUUCUUCGUUUUUGAGUAUACUACCCAGUAACCGGUAGAUGUAAUUCCCUAUUUGUUGGUUAUCUUUACCCAGUAAUCGGUAUUGAUACUCCUUCGUUUUUGAGUAUACCACCCAGUAACCGGUGAUAUAUCUCUGGAUAAUUGCUUAUGUUAAGCAAUUCAUCCCCCGCGAGUCAUCUUUCAUUUAACCUUGUUUGGUAAUGACUGUUUCUCCUUCUAAUUGGUCAUCAUUUUAUACCCAGUAAUCGGUAUCCCGAUGUCCUCCCUUUUCGGUCAAUUUAUCCUUUAUUUAACCCAGUAACCGGUUUUGGAUAAUCUUCCAUGCGAGUAUGUUAUCUACGUUAUGACGGUAAUAGAUAAUAUAUCUCAUACGCUCUUCAAUCGAAGUCUUUUCUUCCCCAGUUGAGUAAGAUUCGUAUUUCCUUAUGGAGUUGAAUGCCCAUCCUGUAAGUCGAGUUUGCUUUUUCAGCCCUCCUUUCGGAUGAUGAGUGUCUUGGAUAUGUUCCCAAUUCACGCUUGGUUGGUCACCUAUUAUAUGCCCAGUAACCGGUAUCCCUGGUAGUAAGUCGAGUUUGCUUUUUCAGCCCUCCUUUCGGAUGAUGAGUGUCUUGGAUAUGUUCCCAAUUCACGCUUGGUUGGUCACCUAUUAUAUGCCCAGUAACCGGUAUCCCUGGUGUCCCUUCCUUCUGCUCCUUAUUAUGACUUUUUGUCCCCUAUGGUGUCAGAUUUUCCUGAGUUGAGAUGUGCCUUUUGGGUCCUCCUCAGAUGUUUCGGAUGAUUGAUAUCUCUCACCUUUAUACCGGUCUUAGAUAUUCUUUCUCCCUGAGCAUGUUGUUCUCUCACCCAGUAACCGGUGUUUUGAUGACAUGUCUCUCUUUGAGUUUAUUACCCAGUAGCCGGUAAUAUCUCGUUGUUUCUUUCUCAGCUGAGUCCUUUGUGGACAUCCCCGUCUGAGUCCAGAUUUUUAUCCGAUGUAUCCUUUAUGGAUAGUUUUGCUGUAUUGGCAUAUCCCCCAAUACAUGCAUCUUUGCGUCAGCUCGAGUCUUUCCAUCGAUUUAUUUUCAUGGAAUCCCUUCAUGUCUCCCAGAAAGUUUUCAAGUUGUGACCUGCUCACACAAUUUUUCUUAUUUUCCCCAGAGUCUUUGUCUCCCUAGCGAGUGUGUUACUCCUAUGGAUCCCUCAGUUUCUCCCGAUUUCUUUUCCUUCGUGGCAAUUAUUCACCAUGAAGAUUUUAUUUUUGCAUACAUACAUUUGCAUCAUGAGGUCUCUUAAGGACCAAAAUUUGUCUCUUUGUUAUUAUUUAAGCCCAUUCUACCUCGUUGAGACGAAGAUUUUAACCUUCAUAUCUCCGGCUAGAAUGACCCUAAAUAGGGACAUCUGUAAGACCCUAAUUUUGACCCUAAGAUCCCUCAUGGCAUCAUAUCAUUUGCUCAAUGCAUUUCCUCAAGGAUCAUGGCAUAUGUGGCUCCUUAACCCUAGGGUUGAGACUUGUGUGAGUUAGUUUGAGAUCACCAAGCAUGCUUGUAUUCUAUAUUAUUGCUUUUCUUAUUUUGUUUACUAACCAAAAGUACAAAAAUAUGUCACUAACUCUUUUUGUUUUGAAGCUCAAGUGAUCAUGUGCUCCCAUGCUCCUAGGAGGCUCCUAAGCUCAAUGAAGUGGCUAGAUGAGGAUGAGAAAAAGCAUGAAAAUGGUCUACAAAGUUCCUAAUCAUCAUAUAUGUCUCCCAAGUAUCUCAAUUUUCCAAUUUGAUCAAGAUAACCCAAAGGGCUUGAGGAUUGUUUCCCAAGGAAACCCUAAUUCAAUUGUGCAUUGAUUGUGCCUUGAUCAUGAAGCAACCUCAACCUAUGAUCAAAUCUAAUCAAGGGAAGUUCUUUCAUGCAUUAUUUUAUGCAUAUAUGAGCCUAUUUGAGGAUCCUCAAUCAUUCAUUUAUCAAGAUUUGAAGUUUGACCUUGAAAAGUUGACCAGUCAAGUCAUCUGACUAAACUGAGGAUCACUGAGAUACAACUUGUAAUGUGUUUGUCAAAUGAAGAUGACCCCAAGAGAAAAAAGGUUCUUAAUAACCAUAUUAACAACUUUCAUGUUCAUCAAAAAUCCAUUUGAAACUUGGAAGGUCAUCAUUAUUAUAGGUCAUUUUGACUGAAACCCUAAUUUUGGGUCAACUUCCCAAGGACCUAACUACUUUAAUUUUUAUGAUUUUGAAGUGAGAUCAAAUGCAUUGGAAAUUUUAAGAUGUCUACUUCAAAUAUUAUGUUGUAAAAGAUUUCACAAUCCUAAAAGAAACACAUGUGAUAAUACAAAACAUUAUAGGUCACUUUGGACCUAAGUCAUUGUAUUUGAAAAAUGUCCAACUUCAAGCGCCCAUAACUUUCUCAUUAAAAAUCCAAAUUAUGAAAAAUUUAAGUCUAAAUUGAUCAAAUUGAAGAUAUAUACAACUUUGAUGUUGGAGGUUUUUUCAUUUGAAGCUUACAUCAUUGUAACAGAAAGGCUUGAAGAUGCUUGUUUUUAGUAAAAAAAUUUAAAGGGAACCUAAACAUGUUUUGUACCCAAACCUUCACAGCCAGUUUUAAUAAAUUUCCAAUUGCGAAAUGAAUUUUUUCCCAACAUGACUUUUGUUCCUUAUUUCAAGGGCUUUCCAACCAUCACUCACAUUAAUUUUUUGGACUUUCCAUGUGGGAGUUUCGAAGAGCUUUAUGUUUAUGUUCAUUUUUGCAUUUCACAUUGAAACUUCAUGUGCAAGCUAAUGCCACUCCAAUUGCACGUCUAAUUCACUUACAUUUGAUCUCAGCAUGGAUUUGCAUUCAUUCUUGGGCCUUACAUGUGCCUGUACAGGCCCAUGCAAGGAGGAUUCAAACUUCAUGCACACAAGCCAAGCAUUGCCUUGCAUCACAUUCCAGCUAUAAAUAAGAGUGCAUUCUCAUUCAAAUGGUAACCAAGUGGAGAUCUGAAUUGCUGUUGAAUUGAAAUCCAAACCCUCACUAAAGGAAUUUUUAGUUUUCAUUCUCUUUUUCAAGCUUGAAUUUCAUCAUCAUUAGUUGAUCUUCAAAGCUCAAUUCCUUAACCUAGCAUCACCAUCACACUUCCAGAGCAAAAAUAGAUCAAGAGCUUGGAGAAUUCGUGUUAUUUGAAGCUCCAUUUUAGAGGUAGAACAUCAAACUUUCUUGAUCUAGAUCUUGCAAUAUAAUGUGAAUCUCUUUGGUUUGUGCUGUUUUUUGAAGUCCUCAUGCAUGAGGCAAGCCAGUGGUGGUCUUAAUUUUGCAAAUCGUGCCAUUUCAGUUCAUGUACCAUGAUCUUCAAGCUCAUGUUUCUCUCUAAAUAGGAACUGUGAGGAGGGUCCAUGGUUACAGGGGUGAUGUACAUCACCUCAGCUUCAUUUUGAUAUCCUCAAUUUUCAUUUUCAUUAAGCUUUAAUUUCCUGUGCGUUGUGGCCGGAUCUGGUUAGAUCGCCGGAGAAGAUGGUGAUUUCCACCACCAUCUCCACGUGGUAGCUUCAGGGUCAUUGGAUCAUGCUCAAAUGUUUUAAUCGUGGCCUUUCAUUAUGUUGACUCAUUUAAAUGCAAAGUGUAGCGCGCUUGACUCAAGUAUUUUGUGUAUCCGUGCUUUAGAACCACAUGAUCUUUGCCACGUCAAUUAAUGAAACCAUCUGAGGGCGCUGGAUUUUCCUGAUUUUCUUAUUUUUGUUUUAAUUUCAUUUAAUUCCUUUUAUUUUCGAAAAUUCAUAAAUAUUUUAUUUGAAGUCACAAAAAUAUGAGACCAAUGCCAAAAAAAUUCUUGAAAAAUCUAGUUUCAUAUUUUGAUUUUUAAUUAUUUUUGUGACUUCAUUUAAUAUUUUUUGUGAAUCAUUUGAUUUUUAAUAGUUUUAAUUCAUUUUUAAUUACUUUCUGAUAUUUGAAAAAUCCAAAAAUAUUUUCCUAACACAUAUGGAUCAUGAAAAGUCAAUGAAAAAUAGUCUCAUCAAUUUCUUAUUUGAUUUGAGAUUUAUUUGAGAUUUUAGUUCAUAUUGUGUUAUUUUUUAUUGUUUAUAAAUUGUUUGACCAUGUUAGACCUAUGAGAAUUUAAUUGGACUUGUUGAAGUUGAUUGGAAUUAAAUUUGAGGUUUGACCAUAUUUUGUUUAUUUUAUUUUGCAUUUAUUUUUAAUUCCAAAAAUACCAAAAAAAUGUGGUUGACUUGUUUACUUGUAACCUUCAUUUCUUUUCUGUUUAGCAUUGAUUGAUGAUGAUUUGGUUCACUUUUGACCAAUUGAGUUUGAUACUUGAAUUCUCUUUCCAUCCAUUUCAUCUUCAUCCCUUUCUUUUCAUAAUUUGGCCAAUGAGUUAAUGUCUUAUGGUUGGUCUUGACAAAUGAGAGGUUUACCUUUCUUUUCAUAAUUUGGCCAAUGAGUUAAUGUCUUAUGGUUGGUCUUGACAAAUGAGAGGUUUAACCUUCUUUGAUCCAAACCAAACUCAACUUGAUCCAAGAUCAAGUGAGUUGUUUUGUGUCAAAGAUAGGUUGCUUCUUGGUCAAGCAAAAAACUUAAAGUCCACACAAGGCCCUUCCCCUUUUGUUUUGGCAUGGCAAGUUUGUGGGGCUUGGCUUACUAGUCAUGAUCUCUAACUUGUGUUUAUUUGCCUAUAGUUUUAUUGACCGACCUCAGAUAGGUGUGACUACUACAUUAGUCCACUUACGAUUGCUUAACAUAGCGCUACAUGGUCUUAUGACAAACUAACAUAACUUCACUAAUUACUAACUUUAAUUUGAGCAUUUAAUUUCUUGCCCUUUACUUUAAUGCAAUUUAUUUCUUGCUCAUUUAUUCAUAUUGCUUUUCACUUUGCUCACUUGAGCACAUAUUUUAUGUUUAAGUCAUUUUUCUUUUGCUCAUUUGAGCUCAUUAUUGUAUAUAAAUAUAUUGUUAUCUUGUGAUUGUUUUGUCUUUGUUUUGUGUGAACCCAAUCCAAAAAGGAGAAAGGACUUAGAACUAGGACAUACCCAUGCUUAAAGGAGUUCAAGAGCAACUAGGCCUCAUGCCUUUAGAAUGCUAAACUUGUUGAAGUCGUUGAUCCGGAGUACGGAAAUCUUACGUAAACUUGUUGAAGAGCAACUAGGCCUCAUGCCUUUAGAAUGCUAAAUUUCAAAGUUGACUUUAAAGGACUUCUCAUCUAAACUUAUUCUUUGUCCAUCCCCCUUAUUGUGUUGUGAACUUUUUGAUGUUUGAUCUUGUGUGAUAGGGAUUCCAUCUUGAGAUUGUGUAGGAGGACCAUUGUCAUGAGUAACCAGGUUAAGAGAGACAAGCCAAAUGGAGAUCCUAGGAGCUUGAAUCCAAAUUAUGUGAUUGCUUGUUUGUGUGCUAAGUCCAAAGGAAAGGAGCAUCUUGAAUCAUCUCUAUGAUUUCAAGAAAAGGAACUCCAAGGGUUUAUCUUUCCUCUCUUAUCUUUGAAUUGCUUUAGGACUAGCCCUUCUCUUCUUCUCUCCACUCUAACCCAAGCCAAAAAUCUUUCCUUCAAACUUUGACUUUGUUUCAAAUUAGAAACCUAGGCCUUAUGCCUUUGACUUUUCAAAACCAUUUUCAUCAAUACUCAUUGUGAAUAAAUCUUAAUCCAACUUUGACUUCAUUUUGUAAAUAAAUUUAACUUGUAAAUAUAACUCACUUCAAGCUGUUUUGUGGUUCCAAUGGCCACCUUAUUAAAACCUUUUCAAAAACAUUAGUCAUAUGUUUGAGUUAUCAUAGUGGUUGAUGUAAAUCUCACCUCAUCCUUAGUGAUUGGAUUAUAAGCCUUCCAUGCUUAUUAUAGGGUUAACCCCUCACUAGUAUGUUGAAGCCUUCCUCGCAUGGUAGAUUGUUGGUUUAGGUUGAGUUUUCUCCCUUUGAUAACAAAAGACCUUAAGGCUUUUGAUCAAAUCAAUUCACCAAUCUUUAAGAUUUUUACCCCGAACUACGAGAUUUUGAUCCUACCUUUGUGAUGGUAUGUAGGUAAUGGGUUCAUCCAUUCAAACAAAAAAAAUUGUAAAUAUAAUUUAUUCUCUUCUCAUCCCCCCAAUCUUUUGCACAAAUCUUUUCACAAAUACCAACCUACAACACAUAUUUGCAAAAAGAGGUUCCCUUAGAGUACUAAGGAUGUUUUGGGUGCGUAAAACGCUUCCAUUUUCAUAACCAACCCCCGUUACCCAGAUCUCUGCAUUUUUAUUAGUUUUUGAUUUGAUAAAACUUCUUACUUGGCUUUUGUUCACUUUUUAGCCUUUCCUUUGGACAAAUAAAAGUGUGGUGGCGACUCGAAUUGUAUGUUUACUUUUGGUUUAGUCAAUAAACCUAUAGGUAACGAAAACCCCGCUACAUGUAUAUCUUGACAAAUAGCCCAACAUCAUCAUCAUCAUCAUAGUUAUUUUCAUCCCUUUCUUCGCACUCACUAGGCUCAUUCUUUGAGGAAUUUAAACUAGAAGUCUUUAGAGAAAUGAACUUCUUCACCUCUUCCUUAUCUUUACCUUUCUCUUUCUUCAUCUUCUUUUCAUACUCUUUUUCAUGUUUUUCCAAGCAAGUGAAUUCUUGCUCAUGUUCUUCCAAUUUACUAAAUAAAAUAGUAAGAUCAAGUGCUUUAAGAUCACUCGCCUCUUUGAUAACGGUGAUCUUGGGUUUCCAUUCCCUAUUAAGAUAUAUUAAAACAUUGUUAGUAGAAAUAACAUUGGAGAUAGGAUUACCUAGAGCAUUUAAUCUAUUAAUAAUAUGUGUGAAUCUCUUUUGCAUGUCAGUAAUGGUUUCACCAUGCUUCAUACGAAAGAGUUUAAACUCUUAGUUUAAUGUGUUGAUUCUAGCUUGUUUGACCUCAUUAGUUCCCUCAUGGGAAACUUCUAAUGCGUCCCAUAUAGCUUUGUCGGUUUCAUAAUGAGAAACACGAUAAUGCUCAUCAACACCUAAUGCGGAUAUGAGAAUAUUUUGUGUUUUCCAAUCACGAGACCACAACUUCCUAUCAUUAUCAUUCCAUUAAAUUUUCCGGUUUUGGUACAAUGACACUUUCACCAUUGGUCAUUGUAAUUUCGUUAGGACCGUUGAUGAUGACGUCCCAUACACCCUUAUCAGCGGAGUUGAUAUGGGUACACAUAUAAGCUUUCCAACAACCAUAAUUUUUGCCGGUGAAAAUAGGUGCUCUAUUAUAGGCCCCUUUAGGUUCGAUAGCCGUCAUCUAAUAAGCAAAUCUUAAGGCCGAAAACAAUGGGAGCUCUUGAUACCACUUGUUAGACGAUAAGCCUGGAUCUAGAGGGGGUGGGUGAAUAGAUUCAAUGUUAAAAAUUUAUUCAAAAAUUUGUCUUAGAAAAAUUUAUGAUGCGGAAGCAAGUUUUAAAUAUUUCUUGGAUCAAAACUUGUCUAACCGAACCUACUAUUGAAUAGCCCGGAUAUGUGUAAAGGUGUCAAUGGUAUGAUAAUAAUCCACAAGUUGAUUAAUAAUAAUUUAUACAACAGAUUGAAUACUCUACUAUUGUAAAGAUCUAUCUCCAAUGAUAGUAACACACAAAAAACUAGUUGAAACAAUUUGUCGAACACUUUGUGUGCAAUCAACAAAGUUUGGAUAUUUGUUUAGUGUUUGUAGUUCUUAGAAAUCCAAUCAUUGCCAAAUGGUAUGUGAAGAUACACUAAAUAUACUCGAACACAUCGCAUGAUCGAACAUACAAUAGAGUAGCCACUGAACUUUAUUUAUCCCAAAAGAGGGAAGUGAAAAUAUCGAUAAAACCAAAGGGAAAACAAAGAAAACAGUUAAGGAAGUCAUUUAUGCAAGAGGAAGGUAUUAGCAUCCCUGACAUCCAUGGUACUCCAUGGGAACCGUUUUUAAUGCUCUUGCUUGGAUGGGGGUUGUUAUCUUCAUGUACCUGCAAAAAAUGGGUUAGAAAAAGAGUGCUCGAGGAAGAUUGGGCCAUCAUGCCUACUUAUUCUCAUAGUGCAAUGAGAAAGUCAGAGCCUUAUAAUUUGUGGAACUAGAGAGAGAAAAGGGGGAAAAGAAAGAAAAGUGCUCGUCAAGGAUUCACAUCCUUCUGCCUACAUACCCUCAUAGUGUAAUUAGGAAGUCAGAGCUCUGUAGUUCGGAGCACUAAGACUGAAAGAGAUGAUGAUCAGGGUGGUGUUUAAACCAAAAGAAAAAGGGCUUACCAAAGCACUAGAACUAACAUGAAAGAAAUGAACGUGUGUCCCUGAAUUAUAGUGUCAUAACCAAGAACAGAAAGAUAAAGGUGGUGUCAAAAACACGAAGGGGGUUAACCAUGAAGGUGUGUACCUGAAUUGUAGUGUCAUAACCAAGAACAUUAAGAUGAAAAUGGGGUCAAAACAAAGAAGGGGGUUAACAGUGAAGGUGUGUCCCUGAAUUGUGGUGUCAUAACCAAGAACAGAAAGAUAAAAGUGGUGUAAAAACCAAGAAGGGGGUUAACCAUGAAGGUGUGUCCCUGAAUUAUGGUGUCAUAACUAAGAACAUAAAGAUAAAAAUGGUGUCAAAACUAAGAAGAUGGUUUACCAUGAAGGUGUGUCCCUAAAUAGAUGAUUGCAAUGGUGUUUAAACCAAAAGUAAAGAUAAAAGAAGCCACAUGGUUGAUUGCAAACUUGAUAGUGAAUUGACUGGAAUUACACUAAAGUCUAUAAAUAGAGGUGAAUACUCUGAGCAAAUAAGGUCGACACCCCGUGCACAGAGGUACUCUAGAUAAGGGUAGGAAAGAUUUCCUCUCAUCACUCUAUUUCUUAAGGCUUAGGGCAUGUAAGCCUAGUCAAUGUUUGAUAAGUAGUUGAAACAGGUUCCCAAAGAUACUUAUGGGGAGGAAUCAGAUGGUUGAGAUUUGUUGAGGAAAUUUGUAGUCCACUGAAAUUCGUGUACUUGUUGAGAGGCUGAAGCUCCAAAGUGGCAGAGGUAAGUCCCGUCAAGUGACCAAUGGGCUUAUGGUCACUUGAAAAAGACUAAUGGGAAGUGUAGCAAAUGAAAGGAUCUAGUUUAUCAAAAUGUAAUUUGAUCAAGCCAAAUAAAAGGAAUGAGAUUGAUGAACAAACAAUAUGCAUGAUUAUACAAUAACUAACUUAUGGUCUCAUUGUUAGGUAGCCCAAGAGAAAGUCGUGUGGAUGCCAAGUAUAUUGUCUUAUGCCUCAUUGUUAGGUAGCCCAAGAGAAAUCUAUGUGGGUGCUAAUAUGCGCUAAGCCUAAGUAGAUGAAUGCAAUAAGCACGAGGCAUAAACAAAAUGAAAAAAAUCACAAGCUCAAAAGUUUAACAGGAACAAAGGGAAGUCAAAAUGUCCACAAGGUCCAAGGGUUCAAGGUCACUCCAAGUCAAGCAAAGGGCCUAAAUCCUAAGUCCAAGAUCCAAAGUCCAAGAGGUCAUCAACACCCCAGAUCAAGCAUAAGUUUAAGAUUAAGUCAAGUCACUUUAUCAUGUUUUAAUUCAUUGAGAUUAACAAGUUGGUCAAUCAAACAAGAUAAGAAACAACAGAUGAAAGCAAGAUGAAUAAAGUAUGAAGUGAGAUGAUGAUUAAUGAGAUAUAAAAGUGAAGUGCAUUAAGUAAAGGCAUAAAAGUAAAUGACUUGAAUUAAAAGACUAAAAUUAGAUGUCAAUGAUUAAUGUUAAGAGUUAAUUAUCAAUCAAUUGUGUCAGGACAAUUUAGCGUUAUGUUAAGCAAUCGUAAGUAGCCUUAUGUAGAAGCCAUACCUAUCUGAGGCCGAUCAAUAACAAUUUAUGUAUCAGACAUGUUAAAUAAUUAACACAAAGUUAAUAUCCUAUAACAUGUAACACAAUGAUUAAAGCAAGAGAAGAGAUGGAGAUGAAGAUAAAAAGAGUGGAGGAGAGAGCUAAGGCAAUCAUACAGGGAUCCAUCUAUCCACAAAUCAAAGGACUUAAAAUAUGGUGCAUCAAGGGACAACCUAUCAUUAAUGCAAAAAAUUGAAGAUGAUUCAUGAUCUUCUAUCAACAGAUUUAAAUUAAAAAAGGUUGAAUCAACCUCAAAUCCAUCUAUUAAUGAUUUGAGAUGUGGAAGACAUCAUCGACUAAGCAAUCAACUUAGGCAAAAACAUCAAGUGAAUAAUAAAAAAUUAAUAAAAAAGAUUCAAAAUGAUUUAAUAAUGAUUUAAAAUGAUUAAUAAAAGGAAAUAAAAGAGAAAAUGUCAAAGAGGUACCAAAACAUCAAAUAAAAGUCAAAGAAAAAUGGAGGAAGUCAACAAAAUUAUAAGUAAUUUAAUCUCAAAAGUUGGGAUGAAAAAUGUUUGAAAAUGAUUAAAAUAAAAAUAUUAAAUGAAAAUUAAAUGGUAAAUAAAAGAAAAUACGAAUAAAACGCAACAUGAUUUUUUAAAAAUUAUGCAAAAAUUAUAUGUGGUAGAGAAUAUUUUUAUGAAAUUAUGAAAAACAAUUGGAAUAAAAAAUAAUAAAGGAGCUAUAUAAAAUGAUUUUUGGAAGAAAAGGGAAAUUAAAUGAAAUAAAAUAUAAAAAUAAAUAUUUGUAUGUAACGGCUAUGAAGAUGGCGCGUCCCGGUUGGCCAAGGGAUUCAAAUUUCCUUUUGAAGCGCGCGAAGCAACUUUGUCUUCAACCUCCGUGUUUGAUUUUCGCAGGUUCAUGAACUUGAAGUUUUAAGCACAAACACAUAUUGUGCAAGCUUCUACUCCAUUCAUCGUUCAUAUCUCUCUGUAUCAGAGCAACUGAUUUGCUAUGAGCAUAGAGACUUUGCUCAAACUCGGGAAGAACCCUAGUUCUUCAAAGUUAAAUUAAAUGACUCAAAACAAAAUAUAAAUCAAAGUUAGAUGAAAUAUUUCAAUAAGUGGAAUCACACGAAGAGAAUGUUAACUUGUUUGAAGUGUAAUUUUACUCGUAAACCUUGUCCAAAUUGAAGCACGAGGUCAAUAAUGGUGGAACCAGAAGCAAGGUUGCAGGGGUUUUCAUACCACGACAAUGCUUUAGACAACUUCAGAUGAUGCCGAUGAAGGACUCUGAGCAGAAGUUUGAAAGCAAAAGGACUUGAACCAAAGAAAUGAGUGACUGGUUUUUUGGUGCUUUCGAGUUUUAGUGAAGCAGGGGUUUCUUGGCUAUUGAAGCUUGGAAAUGAAGGAAAACCCUCCCCUAUUUAUAGGGAAGAAAGUGAAGUCAAGGUUCGUGUUAUAUUGGACCCCAAACAUGUGAAUCAAAUCCAAAAUUUUGAGAUUCAAAUCGUGUGAAAAAUUGGCACCAAACUCAUGAUUUUGGCGCUUUGCAAGUCGUUUUGUGUUAUGGUGAGAUAUGUUUGGUCAUUAGAAAUAAGUUUGCACGUGUGAGAAGUGGUCCCAAGUUCAAUUUGGCAUGAUAUCACAUUAUAGGUCACGGUGCAAAACAGAGUUUAGGUCACAAUGUUCAUGCUUAGGCCAAUUACAAUCCACUUGUGCAUUUUCCAAUUUUCUUUGAGCCAAAUGAUCCCUUCAUAGAGUAGAACACAAUGCAAAAAGAACUAAGUUGAAAGGAUGUUUAAGGUGAAAAUGGAAUGCUUGGGCAUUUGGGGUCGUGACCUAAAAUUUAGGUUGGGCAUUUGGUCAAGCAGCUUUUGGCAUGUUUGGUCAUUUUGAGGUCCCAAGUUGAUGACACCAUAACUUUUUAUUCCCUCGUGCAUUUUGAGCCUAACUUGGGACAAAUGAUAUUUGACAUAAGCUUAAUAAUAUGAAAAAGGAUUGGGAUCAAAAUGAUGCUUGAUAUGAAAAUGGCAAGAGUGGAAAGUCGGGGUCAGGGCAAGGUUUUGGGAACUUGGUCCUUUGCACUAAUGAGGUCCUUAAUGAUUGAAUUGAUGUUUGACCCUUGAAGAAAAGUUGUAGAGGAUCGCAAAAGGCACAUUUGGUUUAAAUAAGAUUGGCAAUUGGAUAAAAGUUGAAGAAGUUAUGGAGUUUGGACCAAAUACAUGGCGUACUUGCAAAUUAGGUCAACCAUACUUGUGCCCCUUUGUGCCAAUUUGAAGUUUUCUUGCAUUCCAAACCAUAAUGAUGAUGGAAUAAGCAUCAUUUAAUGAAAACUUGAUUAGAGCUUAAGUAAUAUUGAGGAAAGCUUGAAGAUUGAGUGAUGUGGCAUGGAAAUAAACACAUGGACCACUUUUGAAUCACAAUGAAGCAAACCUGCAUUUCUCUUGAACCAAAGACCUUUGUCUUGCCUUGGUUUGGAGCAUGAUCACCUAUAUGUACAACAAGAACAACCAAGUACCAACUCUUAUUGAAGUUAGUGUUAGUUGAUAAGCAAAAAACAAGAUGAAACCCUAAUGUUAAGAAUCAAACUACAAAGUGGCUAUGCUUGUGAUCCCAUGACCAAAUGCAAUGGUUAUGCAUGAUAUAAUUUGAUGUAUGUAAAUGAAUUGUGCAAAAGGAAAAAGAGAGGGUAAAUUUUAGGGUAUGACAAGUGCCCCUAUUUAAUCAUCUUAAACAUGAAGGUGCGAAUUAUGUUGGCUUUUCGGGUGUUCAAGGUAAAAGAGGAUUAAAUACAGAAAUAACCAAAAAAAUCCUGAGAUAAAAGGAGUUGUGUUGUAAGGAGUAACAGAUAAACUUGUUGGUUUAGUUUGUUGGGGAUAGACUGAAAUAUUCCGCUGGAGGGAGAUAGAUCAACUGCAAAGAAAAAUGAUUGAUAUGCAUGGUGUAUGCAAUGUAUGAUUGUUUAUUUAUGAUGUAUAUGCAAUGUGACAUUGGGUAGUGAGAUAAGGAUUUUUUGGUCAGAGAUAUACUUCGACUCGUCAAUAUCCACACCAGAGAACUUGCAAUGUAAAGCUUCCAUGUUAUCAUUGCUGCUGGGGAAUAUCUUGUUGGCUAAGGACCAUCAUCUGGCUCUGUAGGGGAAGAAGGAUGCACGAUCCGACCGAGCAAUUAUUGAGAUACAAUCAUACAACAAACGUUUACUGUAGACUACCGACAAUCCACUAAGGAUUUUUUAUCAAUCAAAGAAAUGUAUAAAGUUUUCCUUUUGAUUUAGCUUUUUCUUAUUCUCAAAAUUUUAUGACACUAUACAAUCAAGAUUGGUAGUUAUUUUGCAAACAAAAUACGGAAAAAUAAAAAGAUGAGAAAUUACUGAAUAACGACUGAAUUUAUUGAUUAUGGAAAUUGUGUACAUGUAUGGUAUGUACAAAGAUGCAAAAAUACUUAAAGAGGAAAUUGCAACUAUUGAAAAACAAAUUAAAUGGCAAUGAGAAAUUUGUUUGAUUUCCACUGAUUACAACAUUGGCUUUCAUUUGUUGUAGCGAUGGGCUUUAACACUUUGUUUUUAUUGAUGAUGAUUUGACUGAUAUGAUACCGUCGGAGGCUAAGCUAAGGGUGAGAAUAUGCUCAAAAUAUAACGUCAAAAUAUAGUCAAAUGCCUUUAUCCUUAACUUUUGUGUGGAAUUUUUUAUUCAUAGAAGUUGUCUUCUAUCAUAUCUUAGUUUCCAUCUUUAUCUCAUUCAUUAUCACCAGAUAUAGUUGGAUCUACUCUUUCCCUUCCUGGACUCAUAGUCAGUUCAACCUUAGGUUCGACAGAAGAAGAUAUGUUCACCUUCUCCUUUGGGGGCCUCCUCUCCACUUCAAAUUUUGAUUUAAUGGGUGAAAGUGGGGGAGAGUUAUUUCUUUGGUCAGAUUUCUAGCAAUUUUACUGUUAGAUCAUGGGUUCUGGUUGUUUCCAAAAUCUUGCAUCUCUCUGAACACUUUCUUUUAGAGCUAAUAUCUACGACACUAUGUUCGAUGAUUGGAUUUUUUCCCUUAAAAUUUGGAUUAUAUGAAUGGUUUUUGGUGACCUGUGAAUUUUCCACGUGUUUCCAAGUUGUGUUUAGAGCCAACACCUCUCCCUUAUUUUGGUUGGUCCCUGCCUUGUCUUGGGGGUGCCUCAAUUUUCCCACAGGUGCCUUCCACCGAGGCAUAAAGGUCAUGGGGCGACCACCUUUGUGGCUUGGAGCCACAUUUUGUGUCCUGUAGGGAACAACCCUCUUAUUAAAAGCAUAUUUUGAUCUUUGCUAGGGCCAUUUUCCUUCUAUAUAUAGUUGAGGCUUGGUUUUUUCAAGGCUCUCAGUGGCCUUUUUGUCGAACACGAUGCUGCAUUUGGGAUAAAACAUCACUCCUGAGACCUUUAGCUUGUAACGGUUGAGGAAGACGACAUGCUCCUCUUCAAUGGUAUGAUAUGUUGCCUUAAACUUCUCAACAUAGCUUGAUCUAUAGACCUUCAUCUCUAUGUCGGGACUUUCAGUAGCCUCAACCAUUAGGCAUUCGACGAGCUCUACAUAGUAAGCGUCCUUAAUCUGUAAAGGAUCAAAGUUAACCUUCAUUGAGGUCUUGGCUUCGUUAGCCAAUUUCGGCCUUCCUUUAUUGAUUGCUCCUUGAACCAAAUCCCUGAAAAGGACACAAUGAGAGGUUUUAGGACACAAUCGAGUUUUAUUUUCCACUUGCUCGAAGCGAUUCAAAAUCUUUUUCUUAAUAAAAUUGAAAGAAGAGGAACAUUGAAGUUUUGCAUUCCAUGAAAACCUCGAAUAGUCGGCCGCGAGGCAUACAUCUUAGAAUAACUGUGUUGGUGUAAGCCCUAGAGGCCAAUACUUUUGGUACUUGUAUCGAAUUAUUUAUUAAUAAUAAAAGGCUUUUUCUUUAUUAUGUUUGUUUAAUAAAGUCCCUAUAAUAGCUAGUCCGUUUAAUGUAUGAGUAUUGACUUAAUCAUGAGAUCACAUUAAACAUAAGGACACUAUUCUUAAAGUAUCUGUAGUCGAGCUUUACUGUGAAGUGGUAUAAUAUUAAAGCAUUAAGACUAUUAUGUAUAUAGACUGAUGAUCACAUCUCAUGGAUCAUGGUAAGGAGUUAUCAAGUCUUAAACAUAGGUAUGAAUAUUAAGAGUAAUUUUAUACUGGAUUGACCCGCUAUGAGAAUACUAUAUAGAAUGUUAUGCAAAGUGUCAUAAGUUAUUCUCAUGGUGAUAAUGGUGUAUACCACCCUUCGACCUGAAACCACUAUGGACCCUAGAUGUAGAGUUGAGUGCUUUAUUGUUGAUCAAACAUUGUCCGUAACUGGAUAACCAUAAAGACAGUUGAUGGGUACUCCACGAACAUGCUAAGGGACAUGAGUGACCUAGAUGGAAUUUACCCAUCCUGCGUAACAGUAUAAAUGUCUAUGGGCCAAUAUUAAACUGGACAAGGAUGACACGGUCUAUGCUUGUGUUCAAUAUAGACAUAAGAGGCAAAAAGGUAAUUAUACACAUUCAGUUAUUAUCACAUAAGGAUUUGUCAGAUCACAUGACAUUUUCGUGUCUUGGGUAGCAGUGAUGUGUUGCUAGAUACCGCUCACUGUUUAUUAUGUUAAAUGCGUGAUUUAAUAUAAUUGUCAAUGCGCGAAAACCUGCAGGGUCACACACAAAGGACGGAUUGAGGAGAGAUAGAGUAACUAAGGAACACCGUAAGGUACGGUGCACUUAAGUGAAUUGUAGAACAUUGUAAGGUACGGUGUACUUAAGUAGAAUACGAAAUAUGGUAAUGUACCACGUGCUUAAGUGAUUUUGGCAUAUUAUAAGAUAUGGGUCACAUACACUUAAGUGGGCUUUUUUAGCUUAUAGCCCACACAAGUGGUUCUAUAAAUAGAACCCUUGUGCAGAAACAUUUAGUGCAGUUGCAAUUUUCGUUUUCUCUCUCUCUCUCUCUCUCUCUCUCUCUCUCUCUCUCUCUCUCUCUCUCACACACACACACACACACACUCACUCAAAGCCUUCAUUCGUAGUAGCUAGCAUCUCUCUCUCUCUCUCUCUCUCUCUCUCUCUCUCUCUCUCUCUCUCUCUCUCACACACACACACACACACACACUCACUCAAAGCCUUCAUUCGUAGUAGCUAGCACUGAGAUUGAAGGAAUCCGUUCGUGUGGACUGAGUAGAGGCGUUGUCAUCGUUCAACGUUCGUGAAUGCUCCGUAGAUCUGCAUCAAAGGUUUCGAUCGUCACAAGAGAUCUACACCAAAGGUUUCAAUCGUCACAAGAGGUAACGAUUCUAUCACUGAUCAUGCCCAUUCGUAAGGAUCACUAAAGGAGAAAAUUUUAAUUUCCACUGUGUUUUGGAUCGCCACUUCUCCUUCAAACCGCUCAUUCUUUCUUUCGUUUUAAAACACUUAAUUUAAAUUUAGACAAAAAAGGAACAUUGGAGUCUAGCAUUCCAUGAAACCCUUGAACAAUCGGUUCUUAGGCACACAUCUCGUUCUUACUGAGUGUUAGUUGUCCAUCAAAUUAUAAACACCUUGAAUGAAAAAGGAACAUUGGAGUCUCACAUUCCAUGAAAAUCCCGAAUAAUUGGUCUCGAUGUACACAUCUUGGUCCUACCGAGCAUUCGUCAUUCGCCUAAAAAACACUCAACACAUCAAACUUAUCUUUUAUCUCCCUCGCGCGAUUAAAAACCCUUUUCAUAAAUAAAAGAUGCUUCGGCCAUUUCGAGACGAUGCAAACAAAACUUCGUUCCUACCAUGCGCAAGAAGUUAGAACCAUUUUCGCUCGAAUGUGACAAGAACAAAUAUGUGAGAAUCUAGAUUAUGUUAUCCAUUAUGAUGUGAUGCCAAUGUUCACUUUUCCCUGUUUUAGGUAGCAAGUAAUGUUUUCAGUUCGAAUGAAACUAAGUACCUUUCACUAAAAUCGACCUACAAACAAACAUUUCCUACCCAUAACUAUUUAACCUUGAGUUCUCCAUCGCACCGGGAGAUACGUAUGAGCAAGAUCCGCAAUCUUGUCAGGCACAUUAAUAAAUAAAAAAUUGUGACCCUUUUUUUGUCUUUCUAUUUUACACUUUUAAUUACUCAAAGAAAACAAAUAAUGUAAGCUAACAUUUAAUCACAAGUUUAAUAAAAAAGGUUCUUGUUGAGUACAACAAACGUGAGGGGUGCUAAUACCUUCCCUUUGCAUAAUCGAUCUCGAACCCGAAUUUGAUUGCGAUGACCAUCUUCUUUUUCUUUUAAGAGUUUUAUCAAUAUUUUCCCUUUCCUUCCAUAAUAAAUAAAGUUCGUUGGCGACUAUGUCAUCUCGAGCGUGCAGGUGCUUGUGGUCAUUUUUCGCUCUAUGACACCUUUAAGUAAACCACUUUCUCUUUUUUAUGGAACUUAUUCGUUCUGGCUUUCUUAGCUUUCAGGAGUUCGACCUGUCGAACUCUGUCAGCCAAAGAGAAAAGGCCUAAUAAUGAACAACAUAUCAUUGGACGUAAAACAAAUAUAAUAUUUCUUCUCACUGCAUGCGAUCCUUCACACAAAUGUCUUCCUAACCAUCCAGGUUAACCUAACGUCCAACCGCAUCCCACGCCAUGCCACACAUUUUCAGUUGUCAAUCAUUUUUCCGAUUUAAAGAAAGAAGCAUACAAUUUCUCAAGUAUUCAAACCAUUUCUCAUUCAAACACCACUUUGCACUCUCAUACUGAUUCGAGCAUUAAAGUGUUCACAUUAUAAGUUCGUCCCCUCUUCACCGUAUCAAAAGCUCAGAGCCACCGCAACAAACUCUACAUCCUCACUCUCCGAUCAACUCUAGUAUCACUACGGAAAAAAAUAUUCAUCGUAUCUCUCAUUUAAAUUUCUAUGGCAUUAUCCUUUGUUACUUCUUUUAAUAGUAUUUUUCUUAUCUUAAAAAGAAUUAUUUUUUUUACAAAAAGUGUGAACCACUAUUUUAUUUUGUUCUCCUUAUAAAGAAAUUAUAUAUUUUUCUAAUCUAUAUAAUUUCACAACAGCCGGCCUUCCAACGGUCGAGUGAUCCAUAUCUAAAACGUGGGCCCAAAUAAAAAUCAAAGACCCAAUAAACUAACGCCGUGAUAACGUUUAAGCAAAAUUAGACCACAUACAUUUAACUUCGUCAAUUUGUAACACCAACUAGCACCUUCCAAAUUGCAAUUUCUUUAGUUCUUUCCGCCCCGAACGCAUCGGAUACUAAAUUUGGCCGCCCAUAAAAAACCAGCCAACAACUUGCACCUAAUGACACGUCAUCAAGCCACGUGUCAAAAACAUAGUGGUGAAGAUUUCGACCCCUCUUGCUAUAAAACGACCCUUCUCACCUUCAUCAUUUCACAGUUCAAUUUCAAACGAACAAAUUCAAUCCAUUUCUUCGUGACCUAACUUCUCCUCAAGGUAUUUUCUCUAUUUGAUUUUCUCUAUUGAUUUUCUUUUCGCUUCUAAAUAUCGUAGAUCUUUCAAAAAUCGAUCUUGUAGGAUUUGUAAUUGCUUAAUUGUUCAUGAGUUUCUCUCUGAUCUGAUCCUAAUUUGAUGAAUUAACAAUCAAUUGUUCGUUUCUCUUGGAUCUCUUUAGAUCCGAUUGUUAAAAGCUUUUUUUUUGUUAAGGUGUAGUGAAUUCAAUUCAAAUUUUAGCUUUGUAUGAACGAAAUUAAUAGCGUUAUUACGUAAUUCUUCAGAUCCGUUUGUUAUGAUGUUUUAAUUCUGAUUAAUUUGUAUCUGUUGAUUCCGAUUUUCCAGAUGCAAAUAUUCGUGAAAACCCUCACCGGAAAGACCAUCACUCUCGAGGUUGAGAGUUCCGACACCAUCGAUAACGUCAAAGCUAAGAUCCAGGAUAAGGAAGGAAUUCCCCCGGACCAGCAACGUCUGAUCUUCGCCGGAAAGCAACUUGAGGACGGCCGUACUCUCGCUGACUACAACAUCCAGAAGGAAUCCACCCUUCAUCUUGUCCUUCGUCUCCGUGGAGGUAUGCAGAUCUUUGUUAAGACCCUCACCGGCAAAACCAUCACCCUCGAGGUUGAAAGCUCCGACACUAUUGACAACGUGAAAGCUAAGAUCCAAGACAAGGAAGGAAUCCCACCGGAUCAGCAGAGGUUGAUCUUCGCCGGAAAGCAGCUCGAGGAUGGAAGGACCCUCGCUGACUACAACAUCCAGAAGGAAUCAACCCUUCACCUUGUGUUGCGUCUUCGUGGUGGUAUGCAAAUUUUCGUCAAGACUCUUACUGGUAAAACUAUUACCCUUGAGGUGGAGAGCUCAGACACCAUUGACAACGUCAAGGCCAAGAUCCAAGACAAGGAAGGAAUCCCACCUGACCAGCAGAGGUUGAUCUUUGCCGGUAAGCAGUUGGAAGAUGGAAGGACUCUUGCGGAUUACAAUAUCCAGAAGGAGUCUACCCUCCAUCUUGUGCUGCGUCUUCGUGGUGGUAUGCAGAUAUUCGUGAAGACCUUGACUGGUAAGACCAUCACCCUGGAGGUGGAGAGCUCUGAUACUAUUGAUAAUGUGAAGGCGAAAAUUCAGGACAAGGAAGGUAUCCCACCGGAUCAGCAGAGGUUGAUCUUUGCCGGGAAGCAGUUGGAGGAUGGAAGGACCCUUGCUGACUACAACAUUCAGAAGGAGAGUACCCUUCACCUUGUGCUCCGUCUUCGUGGUGGGUUUUGAGCUGUUUGUGUUAUGUUGUGUUUGUGAUCUUGGUUAUUUUGAAAUGGAAGUUGUGAACUGAUGAUCUUUUUGGGUCCUAUAUUGAGGCCCCCUAGAAUAAAUUCGAUUUUAUGUACUGUUAUCAUAUGGUUGUGAAUAAUUAGUAUUUUGCCUUUGUAAUGAUGUGUCUAAUGGGUAAUGGGUGUGUUGUGUUUUUAUUUUAUGCUAUUAUAUGAUAUGUGGUUGUUAUUUAGUCAAGAUUAUAUACUCUAGUAAUGAUAACUACUUAUAAUUUGUAUAUAUAUGCUGAGUUCAUGAAAGGUUUAACAAUCCUAUGUUAUCCAUGUUACAACAAGAUAGUAGCAAAAUUAUAGAAAGAUAAACGAAAUUAUGGAAAUAGAUGAAGCUAUACAUCGUUAUCACUACCAACCUUAUUUCCAAUUCA